UACGUAGGGUGCGAGCGUUGUCCGGAAUUAUUUGGGCGUAAAGAGCUUGUAGGCGGUUUGUCGCGUCUGCUGUGAAAAUCCCGGGGCGUCAACCCCCGGACUUGCAGUGGGUACGGGCAGACUAGAGUGUGGUAGGGGAGACUGGAAUUCCUGGUGUAGCGGUGAAAUGCGCAGGAUAUCAGGAGGAACACCGAUGGCGAAGGCAG
rnacentral:rRNA from 1 species